GUGGAUAUAGCUCAAUUGGUUAGAGCGCCAGAUUGUGGUUCUGGAAGUUGCGGGUUCAAGUCCCGUUAUCCACCCCA
rnacentral:tRNA from 1 species